UAAAUAAAUAAAUCUUUUUUUAAAAAAAGGGGGUAAAAGGAAAGUAGGGGGCACCGAGCCAAAUGAGUCAGUCAUACAAGGAAACCUUUGAAAAAGACAGAUCUGGCUAAAGAAACCUUUUUCCUCACUCUCAGCUGGUGAAACAGAGCCGGGGAGUUCUCUGUGGUAGGUCGAGCCUCCCAGGUUAGGAGCGGAGCAGGACAAGAGACAAGGCCUUCCCAAAUCCUGUCAACAGCCCAGUCACCUGGGGCAGGCCGCUGGGCACUUUCCUGCCUCAGUGCUUCUCUGUGACCUGGGGACACGUCGCUCACCUGCCUUCCAGGCAAGGAAGCUGCUGUUAGAGGGGUUCGGUGGUGGACGAGGGGCUGUAUCCAAGGACCUGCUCUCCAGGCUUGGACGGCUGGUCUCUCUCAGGGAAUGUAUUGCUCUACCCAGAAGAUGCUCGGAGGAGUUCGACAGCCUGAUGAAAGGCCCAGGGGAGUGUUGGGAGCAGGAAGUCUUUCCUAGACUCUGCCUGCCUGUACAGCCUGGGACAAAGCCAGAGAGGCAGAGCCUGUCCUUGAUGAAGAAUAGGAGGCAGAGAGAGGCUCUGUGACGGCGGCGGCUGCACGGCUCACGCGUGUAUGUUCAGGAUCUGAACAAAGGUUAUCCGGCCCAGAACCCUGUUCUUAAUCACUAAGGUCACAGGACUUUUGUAUGAAACAGCUUGAGACCCAUCUCGAAAUCGGGAGACUGUCCUUCCUGCCUCCCUGGGCGGCUGACUCUGUCCUCAGUGG